UACGGGGGGGGCAAGCGUUGUUCGGAAUUACUGGGCGUAAAGGGCUCGUAGGCGGCCAACUAAGUCCGACGUGAAAUCCCAAGGCUUAACCUUGGAACUGCGUCGGAUACUGGAUGGCUUGAAUUCGGGAGAGGGAUGCAGAAUUCCAGGUGUAGCGGUGAAAUGCGUAGAUAUCUGGAGGAACACCGGUGGCGAAGGCGGCAUCCUGGACCAAUUCUGACACUGAGGAGCGAAAGCCAGGGGAGCAAACGGG
rnacentral:rRNA from 1 species